UGAUCCCUUUCGCUGUAUGGCGUGCUCGUUUGGGUUGGGCGUCGGCUAAGAAUGCUCGGAGCUUGGAUUAACUCCAGUCGCCAAUAAGGUGUGUAUUUCUCGCUACUCUAGCUGUAGGAUGGCUACUUCGGGCCGCGAUGGGCCGAAAGGGGUCAUGUGGGCCUAAUGGGCCUACGGGCCCAAUUGGAUAAGUUGUUUGAUUGUGUAGUAAAUAUUAGACUAGGCUAGGUGAAUCUCAUAUCUGUGGCUAGAUUUGGGCCAAAAGGGCCACACGAGCGUGUGGGCCCAUUUGGGCCGAGAAUAGGCUUUAGGCCCAUUCGUAUUGUUAUCCUUGUUUAGAAUACUUUAGUUUACCAAAUUACUGAAAUACCCUCAAAUUGUAAAAUUACCAAAGUACCCUCAAUUUAUAGAAUUAUCGUUUUACCCUCGAUUUACAGAAUUAUCGUUUUACACUCGAUUUAUAGAAUUACUGUUUUACCCUUGAUUUAUAGAAUUACUAUUUUACCCUCGAUUUACAAAAUUACUAAAAUACCCUCGGUUUACAAAAUUACCAAAAUACCCUCGAUCAGUAAAAUUACCAAAAUACCCUAGUAUGUAAAAUUGCUAAAAUACCCUUGGUUUGUAAAAUUACCGAAAUACCCUCAAUUUGUAAAAUUACCAAAAUACCCCUGAUUUACAAAGUUACAGAAAUACCCUUGACUUUCUAAAAAUUAUGGAAAUACCAUUGGUUUAAAAAAUUACUAAAAUACCCUUGGUUUGUAGAUUUACCAAAACACCCUUGUAGGAUGAAAUGACUAAAAUACCCCUAUUAGGUAAAAAGAUCGUAAAGCCCUUGUAGGGUAAAGAGACCGUAAAGCCCCUGUCGGGUAAAGUGAUCGUAAUACCCCUGUAUGGUAAAAUGACGAAUAUGCCCUUAUGUUCCGUAUGACUAAUGUGCUUAGGAUUUACAUAUAUUGAUAUUGGAUUAGUUAAGUUUGAGUGACAGGUGGUGGUUAUCGUAGGCGAUUGAUUUUGGAAACGUUUUAACUUCAACCCGUAACAGGUGUGUACUAACCCUCGUAAUAGCUUAGAUUAAUAUUUGCUGAGAAGCUGAAAUGCUAAAAUACCGGUAUUUCGGGAACUUGUAAUGUUGCAUUUGGGUAGAUGCGAUAAAUAUGAUAAGAUCGGUGUUUGGAUCGAUGGAACAGGUAAGAACUCAAUUUUUUGCACGAUGGUAAGUUGGGCCUCAAUAGGCUGAAAUUGGGCCCAAUGGGCUUUCAGACCCAUUUGGGUAGAAUUGAUAGAAAAUGGAAUUUGGAAAAGUUGCACGUUAACACGGUUAGUAUUGUUGUAAAAUUUGGGUUAAGUAGGCUAAAUCAGCAUUUGUAGGGCCCAUUAGGGGUUUUGGGCCCAAAAGCCCGAAUUUGAUAAAGUGGGUUAAAGAUCAUUGUUUAAACACUCGAAAAUAUUGAUAAUUGUAAUGAACAUGGAAAACCCUGAUAUUUGGUAAAAUUACGAAAAUACCCUUAUAAUGUGAAAAAUGACUGUUUUGCGCUUGUGGGCAAGUGACAGAGUUGGACUAUAUGGUUGACGGAUUGAUUGUGAAUAUAUGUUGGUGAUAUGAAUGACUUGACUGUGAUUGUUUAUUCAAAUAUGGGCAUGACAUUCUGCAUACAUGACAUGUUGCAUUGGGUUGGGUUUUUAUAUGGAUGGAGGAAGUGCAAAAGGGCUUAUGCCCUAGUUUAUUGAAAAUGGGCUUUCACUGUUUGUUUGUUAUUGGGAUUACACACUGAGUUUUCGUAAACUCACCCCGUUUCUAACUGUGCAGGUAAUCCCUAAGCUUAGAUGGUUUGGAGUUGCGAGGGACUCGGAGAUGGCCACACUACUGUUUCUGUUUCUUUUAAUUGCAAUAAGUAGCCGAUUUAUUUCUUUAUAAGUUUUAUCUUAUUAAUAUUAUUGUUUGGUUUUGAGUUCUAAUAAGGCCAUUUUAUUCUUUUUCUGGGAUUAUUUUAUUUUUAAUAACUUUAAU
rnacentral:lncRNA from 1 species